rnacentral:rRNA from 1 species
AUUGAACGCUGGCGGCAUGCUUUACACAUGCAAGUCGAACGGCAGCGCGGGCUUCGGCCUGGCGGCGAGUGGCGAACGGGUGAGUAAUGCAUCGGAACGUGCCCAGUAGUGGGGGAUAGCCCGGCGAAAGCCGGAUUAAUCCCGCAUACGACCUGAGGGUGAAAGCGGGGGACCGAAAGGCCUCGCGCUAUUGGAGCGGCCGAUGUCGGAUUAGCUAGUUGGUGGGGUAAAGGCUUACCAAGGCGACGAUCCGUAGCUGGUCUGAGAGGACGACCAGCCACACUGGGACUGAGACACGGCCCAGACUCCUACGGGAGGCAGCAGUGGGGAAUUUUGGACAAUGGGGGCAACCCUGAUCCAGCCAUGCCGCGUGCGGGAAGAAGGCCUUCGGGUUGUAAACCGCUUUUGUUCGGGAAGAAAUCCUCUGGGCUAAUACCCCGGGGGGAUGACGGUACCGGAAGAAUAAGCACCGGCUAACUACGUG